GCCUCCGCCCCUCGGUGCCCGCGCCUGGGCUCCUCCCGCUGCGGGCCGCCCGCCCGGACGCAAGGCACAGGGGGACGCCCCGCCGAGCCGCUGCCCACUGCACCGAGUUUUUCGGAGGCUGGGAGAGGAAAUGCCACUUGGAUUUUAAAACCGUCACCGAUACGCUAUAGCCCUGCUUUCUCUACCUCCAGUCGUUUUCUGAGGACCGGCUUGGUGGGUGCUGAUGCCUGCCUGGAAGACCUCACACCCACAGUGUCUUAGAAGAUUCUGAAAGCAGUGUGAGACCAGAAUGACCAGCAAAGGAGAAAAGAACAAGGACACAUUGCAGCCAAAAUGGAGCUAGAAUCUUGCCUCUGUCCAUCCUUCACUGGAGUUAUCCUGGAUGGAGAAGGAACCAUAUCACCUGCAAAGCCUGGAAGGGGAGCCCUGCUGUGAGCCUCCAAUUUAGUGGGAACUUGAACUGAACUGUGCUAAUUUAUUACUUGGACACCAAAGAGUUAUUAUUUUGUGGAGGAAAAUCAACUUUGAACAUUCAAGAAAAAAGACCCCAUUGUAAUGAUUGGUUAGAAUUUGAUCUGGAUCUACAUAGAUUCAUUUUCUAAAACUAUUCAAUUAAGGAUAAUGUCAACCUAUUGCCUGAAUUUAAAUCAGCGAUUCAUUUGGCUAAUGAAUUUUCCUUUUUCUGUGAGUACCGUGUCCUACGAAUUUACAGGGGAUGGUCAGAGAAAUGGUGACAAAGAAAAGGAGGUUUGUUUGUUUUUAAUGUUUUGUUUGCUGACUUAAAAAGCACACAGCCCUGGAAAUGGCCUUCUCAUUACUCGAGACAAUAAAACAUCCCAGAAAUCCUGACACUGGCUAAUAAGACACAUGCCUUUAAUGACAGCCUCAAAAAGAAGCCCCUACGGUGGAAAGUGUUGUGUGUUUGAUUGCGCUAGUUUUACCAUGGAAUGUGCCAGUUGUGGCUGGAAGUAAUUGUCUUUUCAGUGGACAACAAUAAAACUGUUUUUAAGUUCUCUUCCUUAGUAAAGCCUAAUUUAUAAAUGGAAAUAAGAAGUUUCUAAUUUCCCCCAAG
rnacentral:lncRNA from 1 species